CCCAGUAACUCUUCCUUCCACAAAGACAUCACAGAAGUCAGAGUACAGUCAGUACAUACAGACCUGCUGCAGGGCAUUGGGAUGAACUUCCUUAUAGUGACCCGGACCCACAUUAGUGGAAUUUGUUUCUAAUCUGCUAUUACAAACAACGUGGCAGCGCCAGCCAGCUGUUUCCUAGGAUGCUCUCUCUUUGAUCACCCUGCACUAGGUCUGGGGCUUUCUGGAAUAUUCUGUGGCAGCCAAGUCCUCCCUUUUGGCAGGAUGGCAAAGUCCAGGAAGAAACCCCUGCUGAGCUCCUGGCUCUGGAGCCCACUUUUCUUGCUUAGCCAUAAACCAACAAAUCUGUGCAGGAACUGCUGAGGCUGCAGUUAGAAAAGCAGCCAAGCUCACUCUGGGAGAAGAUGGAGGAGCUCAUUCCAGGGAGAAAUGCUGCCAUACCGUCUUUGCAGCAGGUUGUUCCCAGUGCAGCAGAGCCAGAGGCUGAAAGGGCUUGAAUGUGACAAGGCCUCAGCAAUGACACAGCGCUCACAGAACAGAAGCCAGUCUUCCUUGGACAAGAACGUUCAGGUGACGUCUGUUCUGCUGUGGGUUGGGGAUCAGUGGACAAGAUCAACCCUUCUCCAGCAUCUACACAUUGGUCCCAAACAGCUCUAGGAGCAAAGACUGCAGGGAUGAGGGAAGAGAAGGAGAGGAUCCAGCUGGCCCUCCAUCAUGGGUGAGGAACUGAGUGGGUAUAGAAUAUGUGCCCUGAAGAUGCUAUUCCAUGCCAAGGAGGCAAGUCUUCUGUGUUCAGCAUUGAUCAGGGAGUUUGGGGCAGGAGGGAAGUGAUGCGAGAAAAGAGAGGCAAAUUCUUGGGCAAGUCAUUUCUCUCUCUGACCCUCCGUUUCCCUCUGUGUAAAU